AUGGUCUUAAUGGCAGCCACAGUCCCUUCUGUUAGUCUAGGGUCCCAUGCCUUCUAACUCUCUUUGCAUACACCAGAGGGUACCUGGGACUCCUAAUAUGCUUAAUUGCAGCUGUGGACUCUUCUGUUUGUCUGGGAUCCCACUCCCUCUAACUCCCCUUGCGUUAAGCACAGUGUACUUGGGACUGUUAAUGGGCUUAAUGCAGCCACAGUCCCUUCUGUUAGUAGGACCCCAUGCCUGCCAACUCCCUUUGCUCACAGAAGAGGGUACCUGGGACUCUUAAUGUGCUUAAAUGCACCUGUGGUCUCUUGUGUUAGUCUGGGAUCCCAUGCCCUCCAACUCCCAUUGCAUUAUACACGGGGUACUUGGGACUGUUAAUGUGCUCUACUGAAACUGCAGUCCCUUCUAUUAGUCUAGGAUCCUAUGCCCUGCAACUCCUUUUGCAUUACCGCAUGGUAUUUGGACAGAAAGGUGCUUAAUUGCAUCUAGGGUACCUUUUGUUAGUCUGGGAUCCCAUGCCCUCCAACUCCCUUUACACUACACAUGAGGUACUUGGGAGUGUUAACAUGGUUAAUUGCAGCCAGCAUCCCUUCUGUGUGUGUAGUUUCCUAUGCUCUCCUAUGCUGUUUGGAUUACAGCAGCAUGUACUUGGUACUGUUAAACUGCUUAAUUGGAGGUGUAGUCACUAUCGUGGGUUUAGGAUUCCCAUGACCUUCAGUCACUUUACAUUACCUGGGCAGUUUCUUGGAUUGUUAUGGUGCUUAAUUGCAGCUGCAGAUCCCUUCUGUUACUCGAGGAUUCUAUCCACUCCCUCUACAUUACUUGGGAGGGUUUUGGGUCUUUUAAAUAGCUCAAUUGCAGCUCUGGUCCCUUCUGCUAGUCUGGGAUCCCAUGCCCUCCAAUUCCCUUCUCAUUAUCACAGAUGGUACUUGGGCCUAUUAAUGGGCUGAAUUGCAGCUGUGGUACUUUCUGUUGGUCUGGGAUCCUACACGCUCCAACUCCCUUUGUAUUAUAGCUGAGCGUGCCUGGGAUUAUUAACCGGCUAGACUGCAGCUGUUGUCUCUUUUGUUUAGGACCUCACACCCUUCUACUCAGCAUUACAGCAGAGGGUAUUGGAACUGUUAAAUGUUCAAUUGUAGCUGUGGUCCCUUCUGUUUUCUAGGAUCCCAUGUCCUCCACCUACCUUUACAUCGCCUGGGAAUAUAUUUGGGAUGGUUAAAGUGCUCAAUUGCAGCUGUGGUCCCUUCUGCGUAUCUAGUUUCCCAUGACCUCCUACUGCCUUUACAUUACCUGGGAGUGCAUCUGGGACUGCUAAAGUGCUUAGCUGCAGUAUAGUCCCUUCUGUUAGUCUAGUUUCCCAUCCCCUCCCAUUCUUUGCAUUACAGCAGAGGAUACUUGGGACUGUUAAAGUGCUUAAUUGCAGCUGUGGUCCCUUUUGUACUCCAGGAUCCCAUGACCUCCCACUUCCUUUAUGUUACUAGGUGGGCAUUUGGGACUGUUAUGGUGCUUAAUUGCAUUUGUAGUCCUGUUAGUCUAGGAUCCCAUUCCUUCCUACGCACUUUGCAUUACCACAGAGGGUACUUGGGACUGUUAAGGUUCAUCCCAUCCUCUCACUCCCUGUUAGUAUUACAGCAGAGGGUGCUGAACACCAAAGCUCUUCUUUUGCCCUGUUAAUGUGCAUAAUUGCAUUUGUCCCUCUUCCUCUGCAGUAAAGACCUCACUCAUUUCCCUUGUAUUCAGCAGCGGAUGCCCUUUCCUCAAGACCUUUGUACUAGGAUAAAGUGAACCAUGGUAAUUGAUUGACCAAAACUAUGCCUUUCAUUUAAGUCCUCUGUACUCUCUGUUUUACAAGAAGGUGUACCUACUACCUCAGUUACUUUUUUGGGGGACUAUUUAUGUGCAAAAUUCCAAUGUUCAUGGGCCCCCCUGUUAAACUAAUAUCCCACCCUAUUACAUUAUAGCAGGGGAUGCUAGGGACCCAAAGUCCUUCUCUUGGGACUCUUAAUGUGCCUGUGCCCUCCUGAUAAGCUAAUAUCCUGACUUGUUAGUAUUAUAGCAGGAGGUACUGACCACCUGAAGUCUUUCUUUUGGACAGUCAACGUGCAGAGUUGCACUAGGAUCCCAUCCCCAUCACACCUCCUUUGCAUCAGGGGUGCUGACCAAUCGUGGCUGCUUCUCCUGUACAGUUAAUUGUGCAUAAUUACUGUAAUCCCUGCUCCCUUAUGUAAGAAUAGGAUCCCAUUUCCUUGCCCCAUUUACAUUACUGCAGGGUCUUCUGACUAGCCAAGAUUCAUUUUCUUGGACUGUUACUAUGCAUACUUAUAUUUGCUCCUAUGCUUGUAUACCAGGUAAGGACUCUCCCCAUUCUAUUUAUAUUCUAGCAGGAGCUGCCUACUACUAAAGACCUUACACCCUGCUGCAGUUAAUGUGCACAAUCUUAGUUGUCUUGUACACACUCUCAGUUGUCUACAACUGUGCCUUUUAGAUCAGGACACCUGCACUUAUUGAAGCAGAGGUUACUGACUACCUUAAAGCCCUUCUCUUGGGAACGUGGAUAUGUGUAAUUACAGUCAUCCAUGGUCCUUUGAGUUAACUUGGGUCCUUGAGUUUUCACACCCUCUUUGCUUUACUGCAUGAGAUACUGUGCACUUAAGGCCCCUUUCUCAAACUGUGAAUGUGCAUAAUGAUAUUUACAUUAGGAUCCUUCCCCUUCACACUCCCUUUGAAGUACUGCAGGAAUUCUGACCUAAGGUCCCAUUUCUUGGCCUGUUAAUAUUCACUAUUAUAUUUGUCUGGGUUCCUGUGCACUAGACAAGGGCAGCUCCUCUCCCCACUUUCCUUUUUUUCCAGCAAGGAGUGCCCUCUCCACAACACUAUUACAUUUGGACAAUCAAGGUGCACAAUUUUAAUUGACCACACCUAUGGACCUUAGACAUUAAUAUGCAUAAUUGCACAUGGCUCAUCCCAUUUGAAUAAGAUCUUACUCUCUCAGACCCCUUUUACAGUACAGCAGAGGUACUGACCCCUAAGGCCUUUUUUCUUGGCCUGUUAACAUAUGUGUGAUUAUGUUUGUCUGGAUUCCUGUACACUAGACAAGCCUCCCCCCACCCCCCAUCCCUGUCUUCCUUUCCCUUUCAGCAGGGGGUGCCUCCUCCAUUAUACCAUAACUUUUGGACAGUCAAGGUGCACAAUUGUAAUUGACCACAACCGUGCACCUUAGACAUUAAUGUGCAUGACUGCACAUGGCUCAGCUCAUUUGAAUAAGAUCCUACGCUUUCAGACCUUUUGUUGUACAGCAGAGGUACUGAUCACUAAGGCCUCUUUUAAUGGCUUGUUAUUGUGCAUAAUUGGAUUAAUACAUGUUCCUGUACAGUAGAUAAGGACACCCCUCUCCCCAUUCCCUUUGCCUUUUAGCAGGGCCUGAGCACUACUUUAAGAUCCUUAUAUUAACAUGGUACGUGGUUUUAAUUUACCACACCGUGUCUGUUGGACGUUAAUGUACAUAAUUGCAAUUUAGUUCAUCCUACUCUGUUGCCCUUCAUUUGCAGUAUACCAGGGUCAUUGAUCCCUCAAUCCCCUUUCUCGAUCUGUUAAUGUGCAUAAUUGCAUUUGUCUGGGUUCUUGGGCACUAGACAAGGACAUGUCCCCCCACCUCCUAUGCCUUCCAGCAGGUGGUGCCCACUGCUAAGAUCUUUACAUUUGAAUAGUUACUGUGCAGAAUUGUAGUUUUCCACAACCCUAUCACUUCCAGGACUAUUGUACCUCGUUUGUUCUACUGCAGGGGAUACUGUUUUUCCCCAAGGCUCCUUCUAGUGGACAAUUAAUAUACAUAAUUGAAAUUGUCUAUUGUCUUCAGGAGACUAAGGUCAAACCCCUUCAGCUUCCCUUUGUAGUACAGCUGAUUGUGCUGAGUAACCAAGGCCCUCUUCUUUUGGACUGAUAAUACGUGCAAUUGCAUUUUUUCCUAUUCUUUGCACUAGAUAGGGACCCCACCUACUUCCUUAGCAUUUUCAGCAGGCAGUGCCCACUACUUAAGACUCUUUCACUUGGAAAGUUCAUGUGCACAAGUGCAAUUUUCCAAGCAUGUCUUAUUCCAGACCCCUGGACCCUCUUUGCUUUAGAGCAAGGAGAUGCUAUUCACUUAAUGCCCUUUCUUUUGGACUUUAAUGUGCAUAAUUGCAAUUGUCCAUCUCUUCUGCUGGACUAAGAUUGCAACCCUCCAUACCCCCUUUGCAGCAGGGGCAUGUUAACCAUGAAUAAGUUCUUCUCUUGAGAUUAUUAGUGUUCAUAAUUGUACUUGUCUAUGGACCUGUGCAGUAGAAAGGAUGCUCUAUGUCCCUAGCGUUGCCUUUAGAUUGCUGCUGAGGAGUGCUAACUAUCAUGACCUCAGCUCUUGGACACUUAAUAUGCGCCCAAUAACAAUUAUCAAAAGUACUGGUCAUUAGAUAUGACCCCUGAAUCCUCUUUGUAUACAUCAGGGGUACUGACUAAGGCCCAUUUCUUGGACUGUUAAUGUGAAUUUUUGCAAUUAUCUGUGCCUCCUUCCAUUAGAGUAGGAAAUCAUUCCCUUACACCCCCUUUGCAUUAAUGCAGGGGCUGCUGACCACACAAAACUUCUGGGACUGUUAAUGGGCACAAUGGCAAUUAGCAAUGGAAUUUCCCUUCCUGGCCUUGUUAGACAAGCACUCCCAGCUCCAAUUUCCUGUGGCAUAAUAGGGUAUAAACAUUGCAGUGCGCCAUGAACCAGUCCGUCAAACAGCGACCCAUACUCCCACUCCUUUUGCAUUGCUCUAGUGUAUAAAAUUCCAAAUAGUCAUGGUCUUAACUGUUAUCUUCCCUUCUCCCACCCCUUGCCUGCCCUUGGACCCUCCUUAUGGACUAUUAAUGCUCACAAUUUUAGCUGUCCAUGUAUCCAGCCAUUAAAUAAGACCUUACUCCCUCACCCUGUCCCCCCUUCACCCCUUGCCCCUUUUUACAUUGUUGCUGGGGAAUGUUACCUGGGCUAGGCCCUUUCUCUUGGACUUAAAACGUUAACAAUCCCAGAUGUCAUUGGUUUACCCACUUUGUACUGCUGUAACGCCUCAGUUACACUUUCCUUGAUCCUGCCCAUAAGACAUGGACCCCUCUACUUCCUUCUUUGCAUUGCUUAUGAGUAGUGCUGACUACCCAAAGCCCCUUCGGUGUUAUUAAUUAACACAGUACUGAUUGUCCCAUUUUUCAGUCCAUCAGCCCAAGAUCUCCCUAUGACCUGGAUGUUGUAUGUUUGUGCAGUGUUGACUACCAAAAGCAGGCCUGAACUAGGUGGAUGGGCCUUCACUCCUUUUCCUGCAUUUGUUAAUGAUCCCACUUCCAAUUAUUGUCACAUUCUGGGGACAGGAACCUUCCCUGCCCACCUCUGUUACUGACUUACUGGGCAAAAGGCUCAAGGCAGGUCAGGCCCAAGGAGCUGGAUUGCCGCCCUUUAGUUUGGAUUUUCAAUAUACAUAAGUAUUAGUUGAAAAUUUUCUCCCCAGGAAGGAAGGUUAGCACUCUCUGCAUUCUUCCUUCCAGAGCAGAUUGCGCAGCUAAGAAUCUCUCCUCUUGUAUAUUGCUAUUGUACAGUGCCAAUUGCCAGGAUACAACCAAAAAGUUGCUGUUAAUUUUUUAUUUUUUAAGAAAGACAUCUGGUUUACAAGGUGGAAUUGAUAACCUGGUCAUUAAAUUUUUGAAGUCUAAAAACCCAUUUAUACUAUGUACCUGAUGACCAGUGUCUCUCAUUUUAGUAAGGGUGGUGGGUGUGUGGAUGGACCACUGUGACUCUUGCUAUUUUGGUGUUACCAAAGGAGUUCUAGAGUGGAACUCUUAAGACCAGUAUCUUUGGGCUCUACCACCAUUUUAAAACCAUUCCUUGUUUGGGCUUUACCACCAUUCACUCUUAGAAAAACUACCUAAACGUUCUAGUCCUUAAAUUUCUUCAUGUGGAGCACCAACCAUCCCCUACUUAUUUCAAGAAGAUUGCCGUAAAAGGAUGAAAUGAGAGAACGUAUGCUGAGGUGCUUUUGAAAACCACAGGUCACGUUAUAAUCUAUUAUAUAAAAUGCACCUUGCUUAAUUCUGCUCAUUUAAAGUAGCCUGAAGCACCACACUGAAGUGAGGACUUAGAAAUGAUGGGACUAGUUUCCCUGUUUUAUAUUAAAAGAAAAAUAAGCCAAUAUCUAAUUAUUCUUCUGGAUACAAAUUUCAACAGUCAGAUAGCUGCCUGGUAAAAAUGAAUACUAUCCCAGCCUCUAGUGUACAGGGUGUUUGGUGGCAGACAAGUAUUUAAUAUGGAACUGCUGAAGCAAAUAACUAGUCAUCACAACAGCAGUUCUUUGUAAUCACUGAAAAAGAAUACUGUUCCUCCAUUGGCCCAGCUCAGGGUACAGUUUGCACUUCUAGCUCCUUGGACAGCUGUAAGAAGAGUCUCUGGCUCUUUAGAAUUCUGGAUGAAUUCUCAGCCGGUUCUGUACCCCUACUUGAGGAAGGAUGGACCAAUUUUAGGUGGACUGAAGCCUGCACUAGACAGCAUCCAAAGGACAUUCAAGCAUGUGAGACCUGAGGACCGCAGGCAGCUCUAAGAAGCUCCACAUUCAUCAGAUCUUUCCUUCGGAGAAUCUGGAUAAGCUCCAACUGGUCUUAAGAGGAUGGCUUGCAGGCCACCUGGAGAAAAAGGUCUUCCUCAGAAGAAUAGGCUUGUUGCUUUAUGGUGUUAGUGACCCAUUCCCUUUGACGAUCCCUAGGUGGAGAUGGGGCAUGAGGAUCCUCCAGGGGAAAGGCUCACUACCACUGGGCAACAAGCCUAGGCCAGGAGGUUCUAUCAAGAUUCUUUCCUGGGCCCAGGUAGGAAGAUGAAGUCUCAAGACAGCUACCACACAUCAGAGGAGAACAUGGACAACAACUGCCACAUCUGUGACAUUAAUCGUGGGCAGAUCAUCAUUCUGGACCCUCUGGUCCACAAAGUCUGCCUUGAGGCCCUGUUGGAGAACUUUGCCAGUCAUUUACAUACUUCAAGAUGCCUUGGGACGUCUGCGGGAUAAAACACAAAACAAGUUGUUUAAGAAGAUAAAUAAGAAUUGUAUCUUUGUAUGCUGUGCUUGCUGAUUGAUGGAAGCUUCACAGCUACAAAUGGGAACCUGACCAGAAAUGGUACAAAGUUAUCUACCGUCAGGGAGGAUCUAAAGAACCAGGACCCUGGAUACUCUAGCUCCUGAUUGUUCCCUUUGUAUCUGCCGCAUCAUCCUUCCCAAAAGCAGUGCAUAGAGUGAGAAAUUUGAAUACACCAAAAGAUCAACGUGCCUGGCACUCUAGCAUUUUAACAUAGCAGAAUGAAUGUGUAUUUCUUUGCUUGUCUGUUUCUUCCUUGAACGUCUUUGGUCUUUCUUCUCUAUCUAAAGUGUGUCUUACCCAUUUCUAUAAUUCUCUUGUUAGUUUCUUCUCUGUGUAUCUUUGUCUCAUUGUUUCUUUUGUUGCUAAGAGUGGUCUGUGCCUUGUCUUAGAUCUCUCUCUCUUUUCAUUUUGUUACUGAUUCCCUGUGCUCUCCUAGAUCUGGCUCUUCUUUCACUGUUCUUCCCUUUGUGUCUCUGAGUCACACGCUGUGUGCUUUUUGCUCAUUACUUGUUAUGUCUACCUCUCUUCUUUUUCUCCUUGUGAAUUCUGAUUGUUUGUCACUUUCUCCCUUUCUUGUUGGUUUGACAUUUCACUUUUUUCUGAUUCUGGCCUCCUUUCUGCUGUUUCUACUCCUUAUCUUGCAUUUCUCUUUUCUACAUAUCCUUUCUGCCUCUCUUGGGCCAUUUUCUCUCUUUUUUUCCUGCUUUGUGUGCUUCAGUAUCUCUGCUCUUUGUGAUUUUCCAUUUCAGCAUUCGUCUCUCUGUUCUCUUGUUUCUUCUCUGCUUUUUCCCUUCUACUCACCUUUGAAUAUUUCAGUCUCCUCAUGAGUCUGUGUCUCCCCUUCUUUGGUUUCAUACAGUCCUCUCGCCUUGCAUGUUUAUUGUGGCUGUGUAUGUGUGCGUGUUUGUGUGUGCUUGUGACAAAGGGGCUUCCUAACCCCUUCCCAGUAGGUGCAGAGUGUCAGCUAUCAAAAUAAGUACUGCAGCACUGUUCCUUCUGCCACGCUGCCCUGUGAGACAAUCCAAGACCAAUAGAAGGCCCAAGGGUCAAAACUGAAGGAAAGCUGAAGACCUAAGAUGGACCGAAGGGGAAGGCCCAUAAUGGGUAGAAGGCCCAACGUAGAAGACAGAUGGUUUGAGACUUGAGUCCUAAAGACUAAAAUGGAAAACCCAUGUCCCACGAUAGAUGGAAUCCUCAGGCCUGAGACCGUCAGAAGCCCUGAGAGCCAUGAUGUGCAGAAGGCGGCCCUUAUUGUAUAGAAGACCUGGCUGAGUUGGAUGGAAGGCUCAAGUUCUGAGUUAGACAGAAGGCUGAAGACCCAGAAUAUGAGCGCCUGAAGGCCUGAGACCUAAGAUACAAUGCCUAAGACCUGCGAUCAAAAGGCCUUAGCUUGACCACCUAAGACCCAAAGAUAGAAGGCCCCAGACAGACUAAAGACCCAAGACGCAAGCCUCUCCAGAGGGACAGAAGGCCCCAGAGAGACAUAUAUAUCUCAAGACUAAAUCAAGCAGGAAGCUGGAGGCCCAUGAUCUAAAACCCAGGAAGAAUAGAAGCCCCAAGACCAGAGGAAUUUCAAUGAUGAGAACCUGAGGCUCACCUCUUUUCUAUUGCUAUUCUUCCUAUUCUUGGACAUUUUCAGUUCUCUCUUUCCAGUUCUCAUAUCUCCAUUUAAGCCCACUUCUUUUGAGAUAUCAUUUUUGAUGUUCCUGUUGCCUUAAGGAAACAUAUCUUUAGAUCGGCAGUAUUAUGCCUGGGCCAAUCUUAAGCCAAUUUUUAGUCACAGUUUCGAGCCAUUUAUUAAUUUUUUGGUAUUUUUUUAAACUUCCAUUUCUCUUCAUCUCCGCUCCACUUGAAAGAGACAUAUAGAUGACACUGUAUUUCAGUCUUCCCUUUUCCUCAGAAGCUCUAGGCUGACGAGAAGAGGAAAAUAUCAGGCUGUUGGGGGAAAAAACAGUGCCAGGCUAUCUAGAGAAAAUGUGAAGAGAUGCUCCAGGCUAAUGAGAAGAAUUAGACAAGAAAUACACAGAUGUCCCAGCCUGCUAAGAAGCACCAACCAGCAACACCUUACUUCUUUGAGCUUGGGUGAGCAGGAUUCCUGGGGUUUGGGAUUCCUAGUGAUGGUUACAAAAAAAGAUAAUUGGGCCUGGGACAGAGUGAGGCCCCAAGGAGACAGCCUGAACUCCCUGCUCGUAGUAGUGGCCUAAUAAUUUGGUAGACUUUGCCAACCCUGCCCCUGGGUUUAAUACCCACCUCUAGGCUUAAAGGUGAGAGAACUUGGGAAUAUUUAGCAAGUUUAAUCAUUUCCUUGAUUUUUUCCCCCUUACCAUGAGGGAAAAAAUUUAAAUGAUUGAGAAUAUAUAUGAAAGCACCAAAAGACACAGAAAAAAGCAAGGUGUUCUCAUUAAUAGUGUAUUGACGGCCAUGCACAGCUAACAUUUGAAAGUGUACUGUCAAUUGUGAAGCGUUAUGCAAAGCAGGGCUCAUCACACCCUUUUUGUAAAGGGUAAAUGUGAGAUGGUAAACAUUUUAGUUCUUUGUGGGCCAUAUAGUCUCUGUUGCAUCUUUUUACAACCUUUAAAGAGACAAAAUUAUUCUUAGCUUGCGAACCAAGUGGAUUUGGUCUGUGAGCCAUAGUUUAUCACCAUGGAUGUAAAUGCCAGGGACUGUAUACUGAAUAAUAUUAAUUUCUUUCUGUUCACCUGUCCCUGUGCUAGGCACUAAGGAUGCAGUGAUUAUUUAUGAUCACAUCCAGGUGACCCGAAUAAAAAUAUGUGAAUGUGCCUUGUAAACUACAAAGCAUUUAAAAACUUACAAAUUUCAGAGUUGAUGAAUGAAUAUUGAUUACGUAGUAUAUACAUUCUACUGUGCUAUGCACUGUGGAUACAAAGAUUUUAAAAAGUGUAAAUAAAGUGCUUUAUCAAAAGUAUGUAAUACUAUGCAGAUAUUAGGAAUGAAGUGUUUGAUAAGUGAGUAAUUCAUAUAUUUGUGGCCAUUGUGUUUCUGCUGCUGUGGUGAUUUUGAGUAAAAAUACAGUAUUCUAGGUAGCAGAAAAGAAAACACCUAGAAACUGCUUUUAAACUAUAAAAUAUACUGCAGACACAGGGGAUUAAGCUAUUGUGAUCACUUGUAAUGUGCCAGAUACUAUGCUAGGCACUACAGAUGUCAAAAGAAAAAAAAAUGUGUUCCCAUUAUAGAAUUAAAAAUUUCAGAUAAGAAGUAUGUAUUAAAGUGCUUGGUAAACUAAAGCGCUAUAUAAAUACCAGUGGGCUACAUGUUUAUGAAUGAAUGAGUAAAUAUUAAUUGCCUUUUAUGUGCCAACUAUUGUUUUGGGUACUGUGAAAUCCAGGAUAAUGCUCCCAAGUUAGAAGAAGGAAGUUUUGUCCUAUAUUAUUUAGAUGUAAGGAAUUAGAUAUUGUUUAUUUUAAUUAAUCAAGACUUUACUGGUGAUGUCAAAUUAAAUUAUUACCAGUAUAUUUUCCUAUGUUACAGGAAAAUGUAAUGAAUGAGAUUAUACUUUCUAAACUAUGAAGUGCUAUAUAAAUGUAAGACAUUAGAUGUUUUCUCUGUGAAUAAAACUUUGUGAGAUUGGCAUUGUCGCCACAAAAUUCUCAUUGUGUGGUUGACCCAUUAUGAGAAAGGUAAUAUAGUUAUACAAACUGAGGGUUUAAAUAUUUGUUAAAUGAAUGAAUUAAUAUCACUUGCCUAGUAUGUGUACUCAUUGUUACAGGCACUAAAGAUAAACAUAAAUUUAUAAUUUUAUUGUGCCUACAGCUGAGAAUAAAGUAUGUUAGCAUUUUGUGAACUCAAAAGCACCAUACGAAGGUAACUUGAUUUUCUCUUUUGGUGCAGAAUAUGUGGUUUAUAAAAUUUUAUCACAGUUAUCAUUCUACUAUGAAAACAGUCCGAAAAAAUUUGAGGAAGUAUUGUUAACUAUUCAACACUCUGAUUAUAAUAUGUAAAGGAUUAAAUGGCUGAUGAAUGCAAGGCUGGAUAAUAACUGUCUAUUAUGUGCCAAUCUCCUUGCUAGGCAUCAGAGUGUGAAGAUAAACCAUCUUUAUUGUGUCCUGGGUAGCAGACAAUAAUGUAUAAAAUCAAUUUAUAAGUCUUAAACUACCAUACAUAUAUAAGCAAUAUCUGCUGAAUGAACAUUAAUUAUUUACUCUCUCAUCCCCAGAGAUAGCAACUGGGGAUGCAAAAAUUUAUUAGCAUUAUUAUAGAACUUGCAGCAACAGAAAUCUAUGUGUAACUUUACAAAACUUACAAUUUUAUACAGAUAAAAGGAAUUAACUGUUGGCUUAAUGAAUGAUUACUAAUUACUUUCUCAGAACUGCACAUAACCUAGAAUAUAAAAAUGAUUUUAUCCUCAUGGGGUGCUCACGGGAGGAAAUGAGGUAAUAGAUGUGAGACCCAGACUAAAAGUUACUUAACCACUGCUAAGCUUAUUCAAUGAUGAAACCAUGGGAAAAACAGAAUUGUGCAAGGCAGUAUGCUAAAUGCUGAGCUAGGUGGAAAGAUGAAAUCCAGGUCAGAAGGCUACUUGCUCCUUGGCCUGAGUGAACAGAUGGGAUUUUUUUUUAAAAAAGCAACAUGUUGUGGUUCUCCAUCAGUUUUUUAAAUGCUGAAUGCUGAAGAUGGAGGUGAAUUAGAUCCACCUUGGCCUGGCUUAGAGAUGUUAAAGGCAUAAAAAUAAAUGGCUCUGGUUUGCUUUUAGAUUAAUUUAACAGAGCAUCUUUUAUGUGGAAUACAUCAUUCUAGGUCCUGAGCAUAAGAGAAGUGAAAUGGGCCUAGUCUAAAGAGCAUUAGAUCACAGACCAUAGCUGAAGAUAUGAAAACAUGUUUGAUUUUUGAGUAAAUAUUUGAAUGCAUGUUCUCUGGAAGGUACUAUGCUAUAUGAAUUAGUUGAAUAGGUUUGGUCCAGAAAAGCCAUGGAUUUGCCUUGGAAAUUAAGAAAUAGGAUAAAAAAAAGGCAUGGUUCUUUCAUUAUAAAAUGAAGACGUUUUUCCUAGUUCUAGAAAGUCCUAACAUCACUUGUUUAUUGACCCAGUUUGAAGUUAGGAGACUGAUAAAAGGGCUCAAGUUUUAUCCUUUAAUUCAUUAGUUUAACGUUUUCCUUUUAUUAUAGUUAAAUGGUUUAAGAUGAGAAUUAAGAUGAAACAACUGGUUUUAAAAGUAUUUACUCAUUGGCUUGGCUUAGAGUCAAGAAGCCACUUGAGCAAUAAAAAAGAUUCUAGAUAUUCCGUAUUUUGUAAAAAUGUAUUCACUCUGAAUAAAGUACUCUUCUUAAGUGCUGAGGAGAAUGAAGAGAUUUAAAAGACCUAGAUGAAAAUGCACUUUAAGCUCACUAGCUUAUCGUGGAAACACAAGAAGAAAUUUAAUAAGAGACUACAGUUCUUCAUUAGUUGAAAAAACUUAAUCAUUGAGGAGCAGUGAUAUUAAGACACUGAGAAGGAAUGAUCAAAUAGAUUACCUUCUCUUUGGCAUGUUUGGUAGAGUGGGAAUAAGAGAGAACUUUUUCUUUAUUCAUUCUUAGAAACAUUGAAGAAGGUGAUGCUAAAUGAAAUAGAUGUGGUACAAAAGGCGCUUAAUCUGUCUUGGAGAUGCAAUUAAAACAAAGAACAAAUGGAAUGAAAUUCUCCACUAAGCAGAAGUGUCUGUUUCCAGGCAUUGUGUUAAUUCCUAGACAGAAAACAAAAAAGAUCUUGACUGAAAGACACUUGCUUUUUAAUUGGCUUGGAGACUAGAAUAUAAGAGGGGUUACUGUUCAUUCAUUUUUUAAUUUAUUCAUUCAUUCUACAAGUAUAUUUGAGUGCCUAUUGUGCAUAAAGUUCUUUGCUAGGUUCUCAGUUGGCCCCAGAGACAUGAAAAAAUGAAUACUUCCCCAGAGAACUUUUAAAACUUUGCCUUUGGUCUGGUUUCUGGUUAGGGGCAUAGCUUAGUCCCAGAAUAACAUCGUGGGGCUUAAUUCCUACUCCAUAUUUCUUCUACCACUCUGGCCACUACAAUAAGCAGGGUUUUCUACUGAGCUUGCUCCUUAAGUUGCAGGAACCCUCCUUAUAAUAGACACUUCAUUCUUCCUAGCCCAUCCCUCAUGAAAAAUAGCUGUGACCAGUGCUGGUCAGAAGGAGGGAUAACAAAUAAUUUCCAAACCCCAGUGUCAUUGGUACUAGCCUUGGGAAACCACUCAUACUCGAGCCACAAGUGGUUUUGAAACAAAUUUACCAGUUUUGUCUAUUUUUAAUUCUUUACGUUUACAUUCUGAAAAGUAUACACUACCUAAAUAGAUCUCUUUGAAGAACAGUCUUCAGAUAGUACAUGGCAACACUGGUGAUGGAGACAUGAUUUCUCUUUUGCAACAGCUUCUUAACUUACACCUUAGAAAUCUCCUCACCAUCAAAACCUGCUCAAGAAAGGACUUGUUAGGGUAGGAUAAUGUCAGUUAAUGAAAACACCUUAACAAUUUUACUAUGCUUACGUUUUAAGAAUAAUAAAAGUUAGAACUAAUUGGCAAAAACUGGAGGAAAAAAAUACCAAAAAAACCCCGCUAAAUCUAGGCCUAACUGGGUUUUGACCUUUUCUAUUUUUAAAUCACUCACAGAGGGUGGGAUAGGAGGCAGAGUGAAAGAAAAGGUCAAAGCUGUUUCUAAGGGCAGCCUGCCUUGGUUCUGGAUUGGUCUUAAGAGCAUUACUACCUCCAGAUGUAACUUGGGGAUUGCUUUUUCUGGUUUAAUGCAAUUCCAGUAACUGGUCAUUGUUGAGAUAAGGACAAAUUCCUUUGUCCUCACUCAUUUUUGUAAGUUUUGGGGAAACAAUCUUUGGCUGAAUAGUUAUCAACUAAGCCUUGGGUUAGAUAAUUAUGGGAUUUAUUAAUUAAAUCAGUGUGACCUCUCUAUCAUAAGGUUGUCUUAAAGCUGAAGUCAAAAUUCACUGCAAAGAAAGAGGACUUUAUGGUUCACUGUAAUUGAUACAUACUUUAAAAGCAUCUAAACUUUAGUUUACAUGGCAAACCAAUAAUAACAUCCAUAAGUGCAGAAGGAAAUUGAUGAAUGGCAACAGAAUAUUGGUGGAGGGAGGAAUAUUGAGGAGGAUUUGGGUGUGAUGUUUCUAGAUUUUGCUUUGUACAUUUUUAUUUAUGCAUGAGAAACAUGCAAAAUAUUAAUACUGUUUGGCUUUUGAUACAUGGCAUCAGCUGGACUCAGUAAUGCCCCUUUCUCAGGUGGGGUGGGGGGUGCAUUAUUGGGAAGUGGAAAGGAGAGAGUAACUAAAAGCCUUCCUUUCGCAGUUUCUGGCAUCCUAAGACUACCACUACUGAUAAAACAAGAAUAAGAGAACAUGCUAUCAUCAUCUGAUUUUUGUGGCAUAAAUGAAGUUGUGAACCAAUCUGCUUUUAAAGGAAAUGACUUCGUCUCUACCCUUCGAACUCAAAGGGAACCUAUGCCAAAAUGCUCCGAUAAAUGGAAGACACACUGACUUAUGAACUGAUGUGAAAUUCAGAAUCUCUGGGCCUUGACGUUUUUUAACGAUUGAAAAAUCUUGCUCAAGAUGAGUGAACACCCAAAAGCAACUGAGACAAAUUGGGGGGUGUGUUGUCUAAUGUCAAAUAAAA